rnacentral:rRNA from 1 species
UCGAACAGACCUAAAUACUUUAGCUUCUACACCAAAAUUUUAUUUUAAUCCAACAUCGAGGUCGCAAUCUUUUCUUUCGAUUUGAACUCUCAAGAAAAAUUACGCUGUUAUCCCUAAGGUAAUUUUAUCUUAUAAUCUUAAUGAAAGGAUCAAUUACUCAUAAAUUAAUGUUUAAUUAAAAAAAAAGUUUAUUCAAUUUUUUAAUCACCCCAACUAAAUUAAUUAAUAUAUAAAAAAUUUUUAACUUCUUCUAUAAUUUAUACAAAUAUUAAUAAAACUCUAUAGGGUCUUCUCGUCUUUAAUAAGUAUCUAAGCUUUUUAACUUAAAAAUAAAAUUUUAUUUAAUUUAAAUAGAGACAGCUAUUUCCUCAUCUAACCUUUCAUUCCAGCUUUCAAUUAAAAAACUAAUGAUUAUGCUACCUUUGCACGGUCAAAGUACCGCGGCCAUUUAAAUAUUCAUUGGGCAGGUUGGACCUUAAAUUAUAAUCGAAAA